rnacentral:lncRNA from 1 species
AUGCAAUGCAGCGCCAUGCAACGUAACACAGCACCAUGCAAUGCAAUGCAGCACCAUGCAGCACCAUGCAACGCAGUGCAGCGCCAUGCAGCCCAACGCAGGGCAGCACCAUGCAGCGCCACGCAAUGCAGCACCGUGCAGCAUCUUGCAGUGCCACGCAGCACCAAGCAGCGCAAUGCAGCGCCAUGCUGUGAGCGCCAUGCAAUGCAGCACCACGCCAUGCAGCGCAGAUAUGUGGGGCAGGAUGUGGGCUGCAGGGCAGGAGGUGUGUGGGGCAGGCUGUGCACUCUGGGGCAGAUGGGGCAGGCUGCAUGCUGUGGGGCAGGAUGUGUGGGGCAGGAUUUGGGCUAUGCGGCAGGUGGGGGCGGGUGUGUNNNNNNNNNNNNNNNNNNNNNNNNNNNNNNNNNNNNNNNNNNNNNNNNNNNNNNNNNNGUGUGCUAUGGGGCAGGAUGUGUGGGGCAGGAUUUGUGCUGUGGGGCAGGGGUCAGCUGUGCGCUAUGGGGCAGGAUGUGUGGGGCAGGAUGUGUGCUAUGGGGCAGAAUGCGCACUAAGAGGCAGAUGGGGCAGGCUGCAUGCUGUGGGGCAGGAUGUGUGGGGCAGGAUGUGCACUAUGGGGCAGGAUAUGCGGUUAGGUUGUGUGCUAUAGGGCAGGAUGCGUGGGGCAGGAUGUGUGCUGUGGGGCAGGAUUUGUACUAUGGGGCAGGGGUCAUCUGUGCGCUAUGGGGCAGGAUGUGUGGGGCAGGAUGUGCGCUAUGGGGCAGAUGGCGUAUGGUGUGUGCUAUGGGGCAGGAUGCGUGGGCAGGAUUUGUGCUGUGGGGCAGGGAUCAGCUGUGUGCUGUAGGGCAGGAUGUGUGGGGCAGGAUGCACAAUGGGGCAGGGUAUGUGGGGCAGGAUGUGCACUCUGGGGCAGAUGGGGUAGGGUGUGCGCUAUGGGGCAGGAUGCGUGGGGCAGGAUUUGUGCUGUGGGGCAGGGAUCAGCUGUGUGCUGUAGGGCAGGAUGUGUGGGGCAGGAUGCACAAUGGGGCAGGGUAUGUGGGGCAGGAUGUGAGCUAUGGGGCAGAUGGGAUAGGGUGUGCUAUGGGGCAGGAUGUGUGGGGCAGGAUUUGUGCUGUGGGGCAGGGGUCAGCUGUGCGCUAUGGGGCAGGAUGUGUGGGGCAGGGUGUGCGCUAUGGGGCAGAUGGGGAAGGUUGUGCACUGUGUGGCGGGAUGUGUGGGGCAGGUGAUGCUGUGGGGCCAGUGAAUUCUGUGGGGUGGGCGCUAUGGGGCAGGUGCUAUGGAGUGGGUGCUGCUGUGGGGUGGGUGCUAUAG